rnacentral:tRNA from 1 species
GCCCUGGUGGCUCAAUGGUUAAGCACUCAGCUGCUAACUGAAAGGUUGGCAGUUUGAACCCACCCAGAGGCU